rnacentral:rRNA from 1 species
GGCUUUUUGAAUAUAAUUUAAAGUCAGACCUGCCCUAUGAAUAAAUUAAAUGGCUGCGGUAAUUUGACCGUACAAAGGUAGCAUAAUCAUUAGUUUUUUAAUUGAAAGCUUGUAUGAAAGGUUUAAUGAAAAAUAUACUGUCUCUAUUAAAUUUUUUUAGAAAUUUAUUUUUAAGUUAAAAAGCUUAAAUUAAUAUAAAAGACGAGAAGACCCUAUAGAGUUUUAUAUUAAAUAAAUAAUAAAAUUAAGAAUUUUAAAAUAUUAUUUAUUUAAAUAUUUUGUUGGGGAGAUAGAAAAAUAAAAAAAACUUUUUUUGUAAAGAUAUAUUUAUAAAUAAUUUUUUGAUCCUUAAUUUAAGAUUAUAAGAUUAAAUUACCUUAGGGAUAACAGCGUAAUUUUUUUUUAGAGUUCAUAUUAAAAAAAAAGAUUGCGACCUCGAUGUUGGAUUAAAAUUUAUAAUUGGUGUAGAAGCUAAUUUAUUAGGUCUGUUCGACCUUUAAAAUUUUACAUGAUCUGAGUUUAAACCGGCGUAAG